rnacentral:misc_RNA from 1 species
GAUGAAGAACGUAGCGAAAUGCGAUAAGUAAUGUGAAUUGCAGAAUUCAGUGAAUCAUCGAAUCUUUGAACGCACAUUGCGCCCGCUAGUAUUCUGGCGGGCAUGCCUGUCCGAGCGUCAUUUCAACCCUCAAGCCCCCGGGCUUGGUGUUGGGGAUCGGCGAGCCUCCGCGCCCGCCGUCCCCUAAAUCUAGUGGCGGUCUCGCUGUAGCUUCCUAUGCGUAGUAGCACACCUCGCACUGGGAAACAGCGCGGCCACGCCGUUAAACCCCCAACUUCUGAACGUUUGACCUCGGAUCAGGUAGGAAUACCCGCUGAACUUAAGCAUAUCAAUAAGCGGAGGA